AUUCUAAUUAAAACAACAGAAACUUGGCCCUUUUCUCACGAUUCUUCUCUCCUCUCUCACUUCACUUGACGCCUUCUCCAAUCAACCCGCACGAGUCGUCUGACACCAUUCCGACGAGGUCCUACAAUCUGGCGAGCAAGUACGCAAUAUUCCUUAAAACUUGCUAGGAAACCCAUUUCCUUUUUUUUUUGGUAUUUUAGGGCAUCUUGUUCUUGAUUUUGCUGGUUUUUAUUGCUAUUUCUUUUUUGAGAUUCGUGUGUGAAAAAUUACUGAGUUCGUCCUUUGGAAGCAAAUAGCAAUUUGGUGGUGUUAAUUGCUGGUUUGUCUGGAAAGUGUAGGAGAAUUGAGUCGGGGUUACCUGUUUUCGAUAAAAUGGGGGAAAAGAAUUUGUUCACAUGUUGGUGGGAGAAUUGAGUCGGGGAGCUCUUCUUACUGGUGGUAGAGCUUAUGGAAGUGGUUAUUCAGCCGGAGAAGGGGCUUGUGAGUGUUUAAUCAUAGUUGAAAGGUGGGGUGUUGAUGCUGAUCGAUUGGGAAACAAUGAGGGAAAAGAAAAAAACAUUUUGAAUUCAUGAUAAUAUAUUUCCAUUAAAGUUAGUUUGGGGAAAUUAAGUUCAAUGUUUGUGGAAAUGGAUUACAUUUUGAAACUGCCCAAAAUGGAUUAUACCUAUUAAAUUAAGAUUAUCACCGUCAAUUGGAUGUUUGGGUGAAGAAAAGGAGGACCUCGUGCAUUUCUGGCUUUCCUUUUUGUUUUUGGCUAUGUUAAUAUUGCUUUGCAAAACAGAGGGGAAAAAAUAAAAAUAAAAAUCUAUCUUUUCCUGUUUCUUGCUCUGCAUAGCAUUGGUGGAGUACACUAUGACAUAGUGUGUGUGUGUAUAUAUAUUUCAUCAUUUCUUUGUGUAAUCUUGAGGACUUUAAAAAAUUAAGACAUUGGUUCUUGGAUUUUAAGGGAGGGAUUUUGGUGUCAAAGGUACAAAUUUGUUCUAUUUCAAGAAAUCCUUUUUAUUUUUUAUUUUUUGGGAAGUUUGAAUUGUACUGUGUUUUAAGAUCUAUUUAUGUUAGAACUUACAAUUUUGUGUAUGUUUGAUUGUUAGAUCUUCUUUAUUAUCUAAUAAUAAUAUGAAAAAAUCAGGAAAAAAAAAGGAAUUGACAGUUUUAGGUGUUUGAUAAUUAUAUAGCAUGGAAGUCCAUUUUCCAUUUUAAAUAAUUGACUUGUUGCAACAAUUAAUGAGUUUUGAGCAUUUUGAAUGGAUCCUGGACUUCUGGGAAGAAAACAAAUGAGAAUACCAUCAUACCUGGGAUAGUCACUUAUCGUGUUUGGUUUUGAAGUAAAUGGUUGCAGCGACUAGGGAAAGAGACAAUUUUGAGUCAGUUUUCUUUCCUUGUGAUGUCAACUUAUUUGAUUUCCUAUAUGGAAUUUGUGGCUAUAUUUUGGUUAAGUGGUUAAAUAUUUAUUCAUUAUCUUCAUUAGAGAACAUGGGUGGUCAUAGAGGUAAGAAUAUGGAAACAAUGUCAUGGUCCGAUCAGAACGAACACGUUUUUAUCAUAAUACUUUAAGAUAAUGUGAAAGCAGGGAAGUUGCAAUGUUCAACGUUCACAAAAGACGAUUGGGGCAAGAUCAAUCAAGAGAUGAUUGUUGCCACAAAAUCUGACUACGGGAUAGAGAGAUUGAAGGGCAAGUGAAAUCGUUUGCGUAAAGUGCAUCGCUUGUUCUCUGACCUUUUAGGGCGUAUGGUUGUUACAUGGGAUCCAAAUACCAACCAAGUGAAUGUUACAGCAGAAGUUUGACAACAUUUUUUUACGAUAAACAAGAGCGACUAUAAGACAUUUAGGAGGGAAGGAUCUAAGCAUUACGAAUUGCUUGGAGAGAAUUUUAGUGGGACUACAGCUACUGGAAGUCUAGGCCAUGCUUCUACUCAGCUUCCUCCAACUUCAGAGGAAGAAAGACGGCUAGAAGAUGAGUUUUUGAGCAGGGGAGUGCAUGUACAUGUUGGAGAAUGAUGACGAUGAAGUUUCAAAUAUUCGUCAACGUGAUGAUACUACACCUAACAAACGUCGACAUAAGGAAUCCAAAAUCAAUAAAGGAGAAAAACUUGAGGAAUAUAUGUCUCAAUGGUCAUCUACUGUUAGUAUGAGGAAUGAGGCAACACAACUAAGGGUGCUAUACCUUAAAGAAAAGUUUGCACGCAUCUAAGAAAAAUAAUCUAAUCACGAGGGCUCUAGUGAAGUCACUAGUCCAGAUCCUUAUUCAAAUAUGACGUGUUUGAACAUCUUAAACAACAUGGAAGGAGCGUCCAACGAGGUUUAUAUGAAAGCAAUAAAGGCUUUUAAGGAUCCAGAUUUCAGAAUGACAUUUAUAAUGAUGCCAGAAAUUAGGAGAGGACCUAUCUUGGAACUUCUUUGAUUUGCCUAAUUGGUCGGAUUGAGUAUUUUGAACUUAUAACGUAGGAUUGUGUUCUUUUUAUAUAUUGACUAUGAACUUUGUAAUUCUCAACAUUUACUACUAGUUUUAUUUUAAUCAAUGUAGAUUUUGGUAUUUAUA